rnacentral:lncRNA from 1 species
CAUAUGAAAAUAUUCAUGGGUUUUUAUAGUGUCCAACACAUCAUAGCCAGACUCCUGAAAAUAGACUAUAUAAUCAUUAAAAAUUACUGAUCUCUUUUGUCUUGAUAAUCUUCUUAAACUAACCUCUUUCUGCAGAUUUUUUUUUUUUAUUAUUCUGUGCAGUUAGUUUUAUAAUUGUCUGUUUCUUUUGAGACAGCUUUUCAUGGAAAGGUUCAACUGGUUCAGUAUUUUUAU